rnacentral:pre_miRNA from 1 species
GAGACACCCUUCUGGGGCAAGAAUUGAUUCAGUGGGGCUUUGGUGCUCACUGAGUCUGCCCCCUGAGUGUGUCCAU